ensembl:misc_RNA 7SK 7SK RNA
GGACGUGAGGGUGAUCUGCUUAUGACAUCUGUCACCCCAGGGUUGAUUCAGCUGAUCUGGCUGGCUAGGCGGGUGUCCCCUUCUUCCCUCACCACUCUGUGUGUGUCCCUCCAGAAGCUAUGCCAUCAGUCAAAGAGGACGACCGUCCAUGAUAGAGAAGGACCGGUCUUCAGUCAAGAGUAUAAGCUGUGCUGUCCUGCUGGCACCUCCAAAUAAGCUCCUAGAUAACAUGCUGGGAGGGAGGCGAGAGGGCCAGUGUGCACGCGUGGCACGCAGUGAGGGUCCAUGGAGCUCUCAGUCUGUUUGUCUCUCUGU